GCUGAUGCAUAUGAUGACCAAAACUUUUUUCCCCAUCAGAGCGAUAAUUGUUGACUCUGCUGUUUUAGCCAGUUUUUGAUCUGAUGCAUCAGC